UACGGAGGAUGCGAGCGUUAUCCGGAUUUACUGGGUGUAAAGGGAGCGUAGACGGCGAUGCAAGCCAGAUGUGAAAGCCCGGGGCUCAACCCCGGGACUGCAUUUGGAACUGUAUAGCUAGAGCGUCGGAGAGGCAGGCGGAAUUCCUAGUGUAGCGGUGAAAUGCGUAGAUAUUAGGAGGAACACCAGUGGCGAAGGCGGCCUGCUGGACGAUGACUGACGUUGAGGCUCGAAAGCGUGGGGAGCAAACAGG
rnacentral:rRNA from 1 species